AGAAGCCAAGAUGGAGGAACAGCAUGGAAGGUUUUUUUGCGUCUCUCCUCCUCGAAAUACAACCUGAUUAACACUAAACCAUCCUGCACACCUAGAAAACUGAUUUGAGGAGUAACGCGACAAUUUGCACAAUCUGGAACCACAGAACUAAGCAGACGGAGCACAAGCUGAGAAGGAGCAGAGAGAGGGAGACAGAAUCUGAAGCAGGCUCCAGGCCCAACACAGGGCUCAAACCCGUGAACUGCGAGAUCACAACCUGGGCCAAAGUCGGACACUUAAUCAACCUGAGCCACCCAGGUGCCCCAGCAUUGUGAUUUUUAGGAACUAGCAGUCAUGUUAUAGGACUGAGUGCACACGUAAAACACUCAGCUCACGGUUCUUUCCCCAUUAUGAAUUGACUUCAUCCUCAUGCUUUGCUUGUGGAUUAUUUUUCUGAUUAUACACAAAAGGAAAUGCAAACGCAGAGAAGUCACUUGCCCAAGAUCACACAACCAAGUCCCAGCAGAUAAAAGGCCUGAUCCCUGCCUUCAAAUUUCUUAAGAUACAAAAGACACAGAUAUUACUUCUAAACCUAUAUCCAAACACUGAGAGCAAAACGUACAUAAGAGCAUGGCCCUUUGGGAGUCAAAAGGUGGAGAGGAGAGAGGGCAUUCCAUCAUAAAAGAAUCCUUGAAGAGGUAAAUUGGAACUGUA